GCCAGUGUGGCUCAGUGGGUAGAGCGUUGGCCUGCGGACCAAAGGCUUCCAGGUUCAAUUCAGGUCAAGGGCA
rnacentral:tRNA from 1 species